GUGCUUGCUUUGGCAGCACGUAUACUAAAAUUGGAAUGAUACAGAGAAGACUAGCGUGGCCCCUGUGCAAGGAUGACAUGCAAAUUCGUGAAGCAUUCCAUAUUUUU
rnacentral:snRNA from 1 species